rnacentral:rRNA from 1 species
UACGUAGGGUGCAAGCGUUGUCCGGAAUUAUUGGGCGUAAAGAGCUCGUAGGUGGCCUGUCGCGUCGGCUGUGAAAACUCGGGGCUCAACUCCGAGCUUGCAGUCGAUACGGGCAGGCUAGAGUUCGGCAGGGGAGACUGGAAUUCCUGGUGUAGCGGUGAAAUGCGCAGAUAUCGGGAGGAACACCAGUGGCGAAGGCGACGUCCUGGCCUGUUCUUGACGCUGAGGCGCGAAAGCUGGGGGAGCAAACGGG